rnacentral:rRNA from 1 species
UACAGAGGGUGCAAGCGUUAAUCGGAAUUACUGGGCGUAAAGCGAGCGUAGGUGGCUUGAUAAGUCAGAUGUGAAAUCCCCGGGCUUAACCUGGGAACUGCAUCUGAUACUGUCAGGUUAGAGUAGGUGAGAGGAAGGUAGAAUUCCAGGUGUAGCGGUGAAAUGCGUAGAGAUCUGGAGGAAUACCGAUGGCGAAGGCAGCCUUCUGGCAUCAUACUGACACUGAGGCUCGAAAGCGUGGGUAGCAAACAGG